CCUACGGGUGGCAGCAGUGGGGAAUAUUGCGCAAUGGGCGAAAGCCUGACGCAGCGACGCCGCGUGAGGGAUGAAGGUCUUCGGAUCGUAAACCUCUGUUAGCAGGGAAGAACGGUCACUGUGCUAAUCAGCAGUGAAUUGACGGUACCUGAAAAGGAAGCACCGGCUAACUCCGGUCAAGCAGACGCGGUAAUACGGAGGGUGCGAGCGUUAGUCGGAAUUACUGGGCGUAAAGCGCUCGUAGGCGGUAUGUCAAGUCAAGGGGUAAAUCCCCGCGCUCAACGUGGGAAGUGCCUUUGAAACUGGCAAACUUGAGUGUGUGAGAGGAUAGUGGAAUUCCAGGUGU
rnacentral:rRNA from 1 species